rnacentral:rRNA from 1 species
GCUUACGGCCAUACCACCCUGAACACGCCAGCUCUCGGAAGCUAACCAGGGUCGGGCCUGGUUAGUGCUUGGAUGGGAGACCGCUUGGGAAUACCAGGUGCUGUAAGCU